AUUCCUUCGAGUAUAUCCAAUAACAUUGAAAUGAAACAAAGAAGAUUAGCAUGUCCAGCACAAGGAUGACAUGCACUAAUCAAGAAAUGGGAUUAAGGGUU
rnacentral:snRNA from 1 species